rnacentral:rRNA from 1 species
UAGUCAUAUGCUUGUCUCAAAGAUUAAGCCAUGCAUGUCUAAGUAUAAACUAAUUUAUACAGUGAAACUGCGAAUGGCUCAUUAAAUCAGUUAUAGUUUAUUUGAUAAUCAAUCUUACUCGGAUAACCGUGGUAAUUCUAGAGCUAAUACGUGCAAAAAACCUCGACUUCUGGAAGAGGUGUAUUUAUUAGAUAAAAAACCAACCCGGAAACGGUUCUUUGGUGAUUCAUGAUAACUUUUCGAAUCGCAUGACUCUACGUCGGCGAUGGUUCAUUCAA